GUUUCUCCCCCCUGCUCCCUGCUGUGCUUCCAGGAAUCCCUGCCUGAACCUACAUCCUUGUCUCCAGUCUGCUUUAAACGGGGACCUGGCUAAGAAAGAGGGUUGCUAGUUUAUCACCCUGACCUGCAGGAGAGUGGAGGAGACCAACUCGAAGCAUCAGCUCUUGCAUCAUCUCUGUGCCGGAUGCAGCCUGAACAGAACCAGGUCUCGGCCCAUCCAGGGAGCCCCAGGCUUGGUGGGGAGCAGACAAAGCACGCUGUUUGGACGUGACGUGCUCACGUUGUGGGACUUCCCUGGUGUGCAGCGGUUGGGAAUCUGCCUGCCAAUGCAGGGGACAUGGGUUCGAGCCCUGGUCCGGGAAGAUCCCACAUGCUGCGGAGCAACUAAGCCCGUGCGCCACAACUACUGAGCCUGAGAGCCACAACUACUGAAGCCGGCACACCUAGAGCCCGUGCUCUGCAACAGGAGAAGGCACCGCAAUGAGAAGCCUGCUCGCCGCAACUAGAGAAGGCCCGCGCAGCAACGAAGACCCAA